UGGGUUGUAAACCUCUUUUGAUCGGGAAGAAGACAGUGACGGUACCGAUCGAAUCAGCAUCGGCUAACUCCGUGCCAGCAGCCGCGGUAAUACGGAGGAUGCAAGCGUUAUCCGGAUUUAUUGGGCGUAAAGCGUCCGCAGGUGGUUGAGCAAGUCUGCUGUCAAAGCGCGGAGCUUAACUCCGUAAAGGCAGUGGAAACUGUUUAACUUGAGUACGGUAGGGGUAGCGGGAAUUCCCAGUGUAGCGGUGAAAUGCGUAGAUAUUGGGAAGAACACCAGCGGCGAAAGCGCGCUACUGGGCCUGUACUGACACUGAGGGACGAAAGCUAGGGGAGCGAAAGGGAUUAGAUAC
rnacentral:rRNA from 1 species